AGUAAAAUUGGAAUAUUGGUGUUUUUAUAGAGUUUGUAGUACCAUCACAACCAAAGUUCAUAAUGACAUAAUCUUUGUUCGUGCUCCGUUCAGAAAAAGAUACACAAGUACAUUGCGGCCAAAGUAUUACAUUCUGACAAACAUAAUAAGCCACCUCGCUAGAACAUAGCAUCUCAAACGGCUCUACUCCUGUUGCACAGAAAAGUGAACAACAAAAUAUUUUUGGCUAGAGUAGCAAAGGUACCAAGAAAAUGCACAAUUCUAUUGACUAACAUGUGAAGUGGAUGUACGCAUGCCUUGUAGCAUAGGGUUGUACUGACACACUCAGCAUCAGGGGAUUUCCAACUCACACAAGAUCAAACUGCACCACUUCGUUAUGCGAAGGCCAGCUGCCUGGGUCGUCACCGUCGAACUGAACCCCACACCCCUGUUGAACUGCUGAAAUAUUUUAGUACGAGUUAGAUACAGUGCCAAACUAGUACCUGAAAAUCUCAUCCCCAAAUAUGCAUGUCAAUCUUCACAGUUGGAAGUAAUCUGAUCUAUCUCAAAACAUCGAACUGAUACGUACAUGCAAGAACAAAACUGGUACAAGAAAUACAAACAAUCAAUAUGAGGAGGAAUCUCUAGAUGAAUAAGAACAGAGCAUCAAGAAGAUUCAUCAAAUUCAUACCAAAAAUAUGAGGAGGGGUCAUGGUACGCCAACCAAUAGGCUAUGCGGGAGGAGGGCGCGACCUACAGUUUCAGUGGUAUAUGCCUAAUAAUAAUUGGAAGGUAGAUGAUCAGCCAGUGUCGGCCUCCAAGGCCAACAACCUUCUUGACAACACACUAUAGACCGACCAACAUGGACUUUGUUGGGUUUAGUUUAUUUAUUCAUGAACUGUUAGGCGUGCCCAUUUUGAAAUUACGAAGUUUUCUAUACCCAUCUGAACCUACAAAGUUUUCCUAUAGCCUUUUGAACUUACAAAGUUUUUCUCGAUGAACUUUCAUGUGGUUUGUUUACAAGGAACUUUCAUAAGGGAACUUCUCGCGCAAUUGCACAUGUACUGGUUAUAUUUUCUUUGAAGCCAGAAUGGUUUUCAUAUGUUUCGUACACUAUGGUGAUGAAUAUAAACAGUGGGUGAGCACCAAGACAACUUUAACAUGGGACCCCUUCCCCCAAGAGGAAGCAAUAGGAAUUAUUGCUUAGAAAAUAAGUGCAAGUACAAGGAGAGUAGCAAGAGUUGUACUUUUGGUGUAAGCAUACAUGAGCAGGGCUUGCGCGGAGGCCGCGUGAGGGACUGGUUGAGGACGACCACACUAAUGUUUGUGCUGCUGCCGUUGUGGCAAAAGGGGCAACGACCUGUGUUGGUUGCAGGAGCUGGGCUGACCACCUAGGCAUCACAUCAAAGUAAUUAGCAAGAUUAACCACUACUUUUUACAAGAAUUAGCCAGCAAUUAAAGGGGUGAGAAAUAAUAGUUCUAGUAAUUAUAAUUUCCAAACACUAGUAGCAACCACUGUUUUUGGUUCAAUUUCCUAUGAAUAAAAACACUCCUGGGUAUUGACGAAGACGAUCUGUUAAACAUAACUAAAAGCAUCAGUUCAACUGUUUCGAAACCAUUAACACAAUCGCCUGAAACCAUCUUUUUGCUUGAACUUAUCUGGGACGUCGUGUUGAACUUUUUUCUGUACUUAUAUGCUAGUAAUAAUAGAACAUUUCCCAUACAGUUUUUGUCCAUUCGCGGACAUCAACCAAAAUAGGCAGGAGAGAGCAGUCAGUACAAAACCAUACAGAAAUCGAAGAAGCAACAUAGUAUAUACUGAUACAAAGUUGGACGGAUGCUCUGGGAUCUUUAGAACUGGUGAGGAAGCACAGACUUGUUGCACAAACAAAUAAGAUAUAAAUGUUUACUGUCCAAGAGCGCCCGUGCCAUGUAUUCAGAAUUUCCUCGCACCAUUUGUCAUACACAAAAGUCAUGUAUGGCUAUCAGGCACAACUUCUAUAUAUAGAAGGACCAGCAAGGGUCUUAGAAACCAACUAGGAGUACAUGAUUUCAAUCAACUCGAUGCUCAUUAGUACUAGAAUUAUAGGACAAGAAGUUUAGAUGGUACCAACGAUGGUUCAGAAUCAUCGAGAACACAAGUUCAGUAACAUAGUCACUUCAGUAGCACACACAAGCAAACAAGGUUGAAUUAUCAGACAAGUUCAGUAACAUAGUCACUUCAUUAGCAUACAGUGGAGAACAAUCACUCCUCCGAAAACAAGAAGACUAGAAUAGGUUGCAGUUCAGAUACAAAAGCAUACCAGCGAGAUUGAGGACGGAGGCAUGGGAGAUAGAUCAUCCGUCGUCGCUGCUGUACACACGUUGCCAAUUAAAAAGGCUGAACUUCAGUAGAUGGAGAAGAAGGACGGAUGACGAGCCAGCAGUGGCCAGAGGAAGAAGGCCACACAGGAGGAAGCACGACUACCGAGAGCAAUGGGCAGCGCCACGGCGGUGUCCAUGACGGUGGCAAGCAAAUGAGCCGAUUGUUCACGUGCUUCCCAAGAUCCC
rnacentral:lncRNA from 1 species